UUGGAGAGCUCCCGCGGUCCGA
rnacentral:miRNA from 1 species